UCAUCCUGCGAGAUUAAAAAAUCAAUAAAAUAACAAUUAGUGAAAUGGGUAUACCUCCUCGGCCAAUUGCUCAAUCAUGAUCUAGCUAUGCGGUUCAAUGGCUAAUUUUCAUAUCUCUCAUUAUGGCUGAAGCGAAUGGGGUUAAUAUACUCGUCAAAACGAUUUUUUUCAUAUUCAUGAUCGUACAACUCAUUAAUACUAUUACAAAACACUUGUCUUUUAUGGCUCGAGAUUGUGUUUAAGAUAUAUUUUGAUAAGAUUCAAGGGUUGUUUUAUGAUGACUGUUAAUGUCAUACGACAGAGUCGGGCCGAAUGGAGCGUCAUUAACCGUCAAUAAUUUGGAAUCGGCAGAGUGAAAAUCGACGAUUUUUUUUCAGAUUAAAGAUGGAUUGUUAAGUUUUGAAAUAAAAAAAAAAUCAUUCGAUUUCUUUCGGUAGAUUCGGAAUUAUUGAUCUUUGAAAAAAUUCCCUUUCGCCUGCAAUGAUGGUAAUUUUUUUCAGAUGUUUGUUCCUUUGUCAUUGAUUUGGUCAGAAUGUUAGUUAGAAAAAGAUGAGACUAUUUACAUCAUUUGCACAAAAAUUUGGUGGAUCAGAGAAAUCUUCAUCAUUGCCUGUUCUCAUCUCCACGAUACUAAUCAGUUCAAGAAAGACUGUUGCAGCUUCAUCAGAUACUUUGUAUUGACAAGAACAAACAUUGUCAAUGAUUAUUCAGACAACACAUUCGAUUAGUCAUGACACGAGGAACUUUUUAUCGAGGGAAAUACUUUGAAUGGAAGUACCUUGUUAAUGAGUAAUAUUGGAGAAUCAUGAACGGUCAAUUAAUUUUUUUGAAGUGUCGUACGGAACGGGAAAGUGGGACACGAUCUAGCAGAAUCGUCGGCGAAUUGUCACUCGAGGACAAUUUGAUAAUAGCUGAGGUAGCGUGUCGAUGGCUCGGAUGUCGUGACCGGUGUUGUUAUUCCUGUCAACGAUGUGUCGCGUGAUAUUUCUGAUGAUAAGUGAAAAAUGAAGGAUUGGCUGGGGUUUAGCUGCGAAGUGCUCGAGUACUAUAUUUUCAGGAAUUCAGUAAGGUGAUAAAACCGUGAGGAGAACAGCAACAAAGGACAAUAUGACCUUCAAAAGGUAACUUAAAAGAUCAGUCAUUGCUCCGCCAAGAAAAUAAAAAAAAAUUAACAAUUAAAAUAGCAAAUGUUGAGCGAAAUUUUAUGACAAAUGUCUCCAUAAAAUGAGUUGCCCAGAAUUUAUGGAGAAAAUCUUAUUAAUUUUCUGCUCGUCGCACUUCCUCAUCAAUUAUCCAAAACUUAAGAACGUAUUAUCUACGGAAGAAAUUAUACGAAGAGAUUCUCUCGUGUUCCAUCUGUAGCGAACAGAGGUCGCUACUGACAGGUUUUUCAUUAAACAAUAAGUAAACAAAUAAAUCAGUGAAAACUACAAACGAUUCUCUGUCGAUAUUCACCGAAACUAUUGAACAAUAAGAUUGUUUACUCAUCUGCCUGCGAACUCACGUUGGAUGUUUAAUUAUUUAUUUAAAAAUUAAUGAGAAACUAACGAACCACUUUAUCCUUCAGUACAAACGUCUACAAACUCAGUACUAAUGAUGGAAUCAGUUCACUUUGCGAGAAACAAUCACCUGUUGGCUAAUCUACAUCUGAAUUGGUCAGUGUAAUCACCAUUAUGUUCACAUUUGGGGGAGAAAUACAAACCGAAGGUCCGCAAAAGGUGCAUUCGAUCUCGUGAUAAAUAAAUUAUAAUACAACGAACUUCACUCUUAUUCUCUCCACCUUUAUUACAUUUUUGUUCCUUCGAUUAAUGAAAUAUAUUAGAGAAUGCUACGUAUAUAAAUAACGCAUGGGCACAACAUUGAGAGAUUCAGCUUCUCCUUCUUUCAUUCCCUGUCACACAGGACAUUGUUUCCUGGUUAAGUUUUAUUUGUUUGGAAGUACAAUUAGUUUAUCGGCGUUGGUUGUUUCAUCAUUUCAACAAUUACGUCGGUGGGUGCCUCAUGAGUACAUGAAAAUAUUUUAGCUGCUUAUUAAAAUCAGCAGUGAAUUUCGAGAGAAAUCUAGUUCAGCAUGUUUUUAUGAAAGAAUUAUCAAAGAAUCAUCUAGUCCAGUUGACCGGUAAAUUAUCAAAUUUUUUACAAUUAAUUAAAAUAAUAUAAACAAUUUUGAAGGACAUGAUUUCUAUUUGCAUGAAGUAUUGAUUAAAUACUUCAACAUUUCAUAAAUUAAAAUUUCUCACUCAAUUGCUGACUCACAACUCAGAGAAAAAAUUCUAAGAAUUUCUCUCAAAUUUCAUAUUUUACCGAAUUAAUUUCCCCCAUCUCUGCAUCCCCCCCAAGAAACAUUUCUGAAUUCCUUUGCCCCUGAUUAAAACGCAGACAAUUUGAACCAUUAAAAUUGCAUUACAGUUGUUGUUUUUUCGUCUACCUCCAAAAACUCACUACUUCACUACAUAAAUAAUUUUGGACGUCAUUAUUAGUGAAUCAAUAAAUGAAAAAUUGUUGGGGAGCCCAUCAUUGGUGGUGGAUGAGGCUCGUAAAACUCAUCCAAUCCUGUUUGUGCUUAUAUGAUACAAUAUUGAUCUCCUUUAUCAACUAUUUAUCGUAAAAUGUGACUUAUUCAUCUACAGUCAUACAAAAUGGGUGUAUAAAUAUUAUCUUCAUUCUGGGGGAGGGGGAAGGGGGUGUAUGACG